rnacentral:rRNA from 1 species
UACGUAGGCAGCAAGCGUUGUUCGGAGUUACUGGGCGUAAAGAGUGCGUAGGUGGUGCCCUAAGUCUGUUGUGAAAUCUCCCGGCUUAACUGGGAGGGUGCGGUGGAAACUGGGGUGCUUGAGUGUGGGAGAGGUAAGCGGAAUUCCUGGUGUAGCGGUGAAAUGCGUAGAUAUCAGGAGGAACACCUGUGGUGUAGACGGCUUUCUGGACCAUAGCUGACGCUGAGACACGAAAGCGUGGGUAGCAAACAGG